AUAAUAGAAAUAACCUCUGUGAUCUGUGAUGUCAGUCACCUGUUCAUGACAGUGGUGAACGUCACCGGAAAAUUGGGUUUGUGCAGUUUAGUUCACAGUUUAGUUUAAAAAGUUACGAAAAAAUGAUGAAAACUAGUAAAAUGCUCUACAUUAAUUGCCUCAUGACGCUGUGUCUCGCUGUGCUAUUCGUUGGUGUUGCAACGGCAUCUGCAGAUGAAAGUUUGGACGUUCCUGUUUCGAAAAUUAGUCAAAUUGUUGGUGCUCCGACCUUAAAAUUCCUUUACUGUUAUUCAUGUGGCUAUAAGAAAAUGUUUGACCAAUACACAAAUCUGCUGAGCCAAAAAUACCCAUUCAUCCAAGUGGAAGGUGCCAAUUAUGAACCCGGUGGGUUCUACAUGUUUCUAGUUAGAAUCACUGGAACUGUUAAAUUGCUUGCAAUAGUUUGCAUUCUUGCGGGAAUGAAUGUGUUUGACUACAUCAACCGACCAGCCCCCGCAUGGUGGCGAUGGUGCAUCGAGAACAGGAUUUAUGCUUGCAUGAUGCUGUUUUUCAUCUGCAACCUAAUCGAAAGUCAACUGAUUGCAUCUGGCGCCUUUGAGAUCUCAUUAAACGAUGUGCCAAUUUGGUCGAAGUUGGAGAGCGGUCGGAUUCCUCAACCGGCCGAAUUGUUUCAAAUUAUUGACAGUCACAUGCAGUUCACAGAUACUAAACUGGAGCUAAAUGGCUUUGCCAAGUAGUAGAUUUUGCGGCACUCAGAAGAUGCACGUCCUUUGGUUGUGAUCCUGUUUACUUUGGAUAUGGAUUUGAAUGACCAAAAACCCAUCGUACUUUAAGAUGACUGAGCCAUUAUUGUAACAUCGAAAGCUGGUUGAAUACUUUUACAUUUCAACUAACUUAUCCCAGUUCAGACCGGCAAUCAGUCAAAGGUUUUUUAACCAGUUUUUCAGUGUAUUGGCCAAAAGCAGAGAAGUUCUGCUCAGUUUGUUUUGAAUGUGUUUUUAUGUAGGUAUCUCGGAGACCAGUCUAGUAGUAAAAAAAUGUUUGAAUUUUAAUAUGUUUUAUACACUUUAUUUACCUCCACUCAUUCUGGUUUGAUAGUUUUAUUUGGGAGGCUGCAUAAUCAGCUUGAUGUAUGUCUGUAAAUAAGUUAUUGUAUAUAUUAAAAAAAUUGAUAGAAA
rnacentral:misc_RNA from 1 species